rnacentral:rRNA from 1 species
GACCAGACUCCUACGGGAGGCAGCAGUGAGGAAUAUUGGUCAAUGGGAGAGAUCCUGAACCAGCCAAGCCGCGUGAGGGAAGACGGCCCUAUGGGUUGUAAACCUCUUUUGUCGGAGAACAAAACCCGGGACGUGUCCCGGACUGCGUGUAUCCGAAGAAAAAGCAUCGGCUAACUCCGUGCCAGCAGCCGCGGUAAUACGGAGGAUGCGAGCGUUAUCCGGAUUUAUCGGGUUUAAAGGGUGCGUAGGCGGUUUGAUAAGUUAGAGGUGAAAUGUCGGGGCUCAACCCCGAAACUGCCUCUAAUACUGUUGGACUAGAGAAUAGUUGCGGUAGGCGGAAUGUAUGGUGUAGCGGUGAAAUGCUUAGAGAUCAUACAGAACACCGAUUGCGAAGGCAGCUUACCAAACUAUAUCUGACGUUGAGGCACGAAAGCGUGGGUAGCAAACAGGAUUAGAUACCCCUGUA